rnacentral:ncRNA from 1 species
AGGCAUCCCCAUUACCUAUGGACACGGUGCCGCAAUCUCCGGAAGAGAUCGUUCGACCGGAAGAUUGUUGUCGGGUUUUCCGUGUCCAU